rnacentral:rRNA from 1 species
AUCAGGAGGUUAGUGCAAUGGCAUAAGCCAGCUUGACUGCGAGCGUGACGGCGCGAGCAGGUGCGAAAGCAGGUCAUAGUGAUCCGGUGGUUCUGAAUGGAAGGGCCAUCGCUCAACGGAUAAAAGGUACUCCGGGGAUAACAGGCUGAUACCGCCCAAGAGUUCAUAUCGACGGCGGUGUUUGGCACCUCGAUGUCGGCUCAUCACAUCCUGGGGCUGAAGUAGGUCCCAAGGGUAUGGCUGUUCGCCAUUUAAAGUGGUACGCGAGCUGGGUUUAGAACGUCGUGAGACAGUUCGGUCCCUAUCUGCCGUGGGCGCUGGAGAACUGAGGGGGGCUGCUCCUAGUACGAGAGGACCGGAGUGGACGCAUCACUGGUGUUCGGGUUGUCAUGCCAAUGGCACUGCCCGGUAGCUAAAUGCGGAAGAGAUAAGUGCUGAAAGCAUCUAAGCACGAAACUUGCCCCG